rnacentral:rRNA from 1 species
UACAGAGGUGGCAAGCGUUGUUCGGAAUUACUGGGCGUAAAGGGCGCGUAGGCGGCUCGACAAGUCCCGCGUGAAAGCCCCCGGCUCAACUGGGGAACUGCGCGGGAAACUGUCGGACUUGAGUUCGGGAGAGGGAAGCGGAAUUCCGGGUGUAGCGGUGAAAUGCGUAGAUAUCCGGAGGAACACCGGUGGCGAAGGCGGCUUCCUGGACCGACACUGACGCUGAGGCGCGAAAGCCAGGGGAGCAAACGGG